GGAAAAGGCCGAGUAAGAACUCGAAGUCCAAUUUUCACCAUUUGAAGAUCUCGGCUCCCAGAUGUACUCUCCACAAGAUGAGGUCGUGCACGGACAUCAUAAACUAUAGGUCUUUCAAUCCAUGGAAUCAUGAUAUGUGUUCCUUCAGGAUAAACCUUAUCCUUGAUGCCCUGGAUGCGGUUGAAGACGAUGGCGCGAUGACCGCCUUCGACGUUGAAGAGGCUGUGCGUGGCCGCGUAAACCACGCCGGUGCCGAGGAGGGCGAGUGUGAUGGCUCUCCCGGUGCCUGGGAGCUUCGGGAUCUUGACAUUUCUGACACUCAUCUCCGCCGCCGGCGAUCGAGAUUUGGGAGUGAGGGAGUGGCUUGCUUGCUUGC
rnacentral:misc_RNA from 1 species